GCCUUCACGAUCGUGAUGGCCCGCUGGUCCCACUUCUCUGUCUCAAACUGGCUUUUUCUCAAUCCUUUGACUCCGCCGGGCUUUGUCACCCCCAUGACCUGGUGUUGGGUCUGAUCACCCCAACGUUCCUGGCUGCUCAAUGUGGGGUGACAAAGACCCCGGUGAAGGAACGCUAGAGCGUGUGAAAGCAGAGGACGCAUCAUCAGAGGACACCUGAGGAUGUCUAAAAGAAGCUCAGCAGGAAAGCUGAGUGCUGGGAAGAACCAGGGUAGCAAUGGGACAAAGUGAAAGCAGACAUUCUGCUUAUUUAAAUUUCUUAAGGCGUUUAUUAUGAAGAGGGGGGAGUGAAAGUUAGUGCUCAGAAUUUAUCACUCUUCAGUGCAGUAAAGCAGUUUUGCCCAUGGUUCCCGGAACAAGGGACUAUGGAGUUGGAUGAAUGGGAGAGAAUUGGCAGAGAUUUUUAAAAAAACAUAUAAAGGUGGAGCAAAUAUUCCAGUCUCGGUUUGGUCAAUGUGGGCACUAAUAAAAGCAGCUCUUGAGCCAUUUCAAACAGAUCAUGAGGCAGAUUCAGAUGAGGAAGAGGAGGGCGAGUGUAAAAAACUAACUUCAGAUUCUGAAUGUGAGGAACAGAAACCGGAGGAAAUCAAAGAAAGGGAAACCGAAAAAGGUCCUAAUAAGAGAUGAAGAACAAUGAAGAUAUCGUGAAAAAUAUUUUGCUUCCCUGCCUUCAUACAAUCCUCUAACAGUCAAAAAUGUAUCUGCAGCGCCCAGUAAGGCCAACUGAUGACUCAAACACAACCCCCCAAGGGUGUCCUUAUGCCCUUCCAUUGCUUAAAAUAAAGAGCUCGGGGGUCACUUACGGAAAUCAAUGGGUAAGUCAAAAUGUUAGCCAUAUAACGCCAGCUAUAUUUACUUCAAAGGAAGCAAAACUGUCAUGCCCAAAGACAAAAACAAACGUGAUAUCUGAUGACAUCAUCAUACUUUAGUCAUUCACCAUGCCAAAGAAAAGCUUUUUUUUUUUCUGAGACAGAAUCUUGCUCUGUCACCCAGGCUGGAGUGCAAUGGCAUGAUCUCGGGUCACUACAACCUCUGUCUCCCCGGUUCAAGCAAUUCUCCUGCCUCAACCUCCUGCGUAGCUGGGAUUACAGGACAAGAACUCAGGGCAAAGGUGCCACUGGCCACAGAGGUUUUCAGGAAGAAAAUUGACACCCCAAAGAUUGCCACCGGCUACAGAGGCUUCCAGAAAGAAAAUUGACACCUCAAAGAUCCCGUAACAGUUCCUCUCUAGGUUAUAGGACAGCUGCCAAUUACAAUAAGGCCUGCUCACUUUCUUCUUUACAUUCAGCAGAGAGAAAUUGCCUCUCCCUAAGCCAUCAGACAGUCUAUCUUCAGUCUUUUGGGGUCAGUUUGCGAUGCUACCCAAACAAUGUAGGGCUGGUUCCUUGAAGCAAUCACUGAUUGGCUUGCUGGCCAGGGCCCAUCUACUGAGUUCAGGUCAGUUCCUCAAAGCUCACUGCUGCAACAUGAUGGAAAGUGGGGGUGAAUGUUGAGGAAUCAACUACUCUAUCCACUACAAAAGAUUUCCUCAGAAAACGCUCAUGUUUUUACUAAACUGACGCUUGACUGUACAUUUAUUUUGAAGUUUGCUAAGAUGAAAGGAAUUUUAGUAUUUCUUACAGUUAGUGUCUAAGGUAGAUCUCUGGAAAGGUUACGUGCCAUCUUGAAUUGCAGUUAGAUUUCAGACAAUUCAUGAAAUAUCAAUAUUCAAAUAUAAAUAGGAAGUAUAAACUGAUUUUUAACCUAAUUUUUAAAAAGUCAGUUAUUAGAUAAAAUAAUGUUAAAGUAAAAAUUGUAGCUAAGCAUUAAAGGCAAUAAAUAUGUCCAAAGACAUACAUAGAGAGAUUCUUUCAAUUGGAGGAAGACCACUCCCCUAAUAAUCUAAGGUUGCCUUACAUGACAGCUACAGUGCAUAAACACUCAAACAUAAUUUUAUUCUUGAGCUGCAGAAAAUUUAAACAUUUGUGUGAUAUCGUCUACAUAUAUGGAAUAUACGCAUUCCUUUCGCUCUUCAAAAUUUCUGUAAGGAAGUAAUAUAUGCACAUCGCAACAAAAUUCAACCAGCACCAAUAGUUUUUUAAGUCUCUUUCUCACUCAAAUUUCCCCAGAAUCUUCCUUCUUAAAGGCCUAAGAUUAUCAGUUUCUUGUGUGUUCUUCCCUAAAUAUUCUGUAUAUAAGAAAACAGAUACAGCCUUUUUUUUUUUUCUUUGUGAGAUGGCGUGUCGCUCUGUCUCCCAGGCUGGAGUGCAGUGGCACAAUCUCAGCUCAUGACAACCUCUGCCUGCUGGGUUCCAGCGAUUCUCCCACCUCAGCCUCCUGAGUAGCUGGGAUUACAGGUGCUCACCACCAUGCCCAGCUUUUUUUUUUUUUUUUUUUAGUAGAGAUGGGGUUUCACCAUGUUGCCUAGGCUGGUCUCGACUUCCUGACCUCAAGUGAUCCACCUGCCUCGGGCUCCCAAAAUGCUGGGAUUACAGGUGUGAGCCACCACGCCUGGCCCCCAGAUACAUCCUUUCAAAAAAAUACAAAUGGGAACACAGCUACACUGUUCAGAAACUUGCUUAUCUUCGUUUGAUAAUACACUGCGUUCAUACUCCAUAGAGUGAUCCAACCUUGAGUAACUAACUGCAUGAUUAUAUCUCAUGAACUUGAAGUGGAGGUAAGGACAGCACUUGGGCUUAGAUGACGGCUGCUGUAGAAGGAGUGAUUCACUGCCCAGGAAGGGAAAAUGCAAUGAAGAACAGGAGCCCUGAAGGAAUGUGCCACAGCACCUGGAGUGAGGGAAACAAAAUCACCAGCAAGAGGUGAAAGUGAUGGGGACAAAGAAGGCUGGGGCCUCACAAAUUGCCUACGGUUGUUGUUGUUGUUGUUGUUGUUUUGAAACAGGGUCUUGCUCUGUUGCCCAGGCGGGAGUGUGGUCGCACAAUCUCGGCUCACUGCAACCUCCGCCUCCCAGGUUCCAGCAAUUCUCCUGCCUCAGCUUCCCAAGUAGCUGGGACUACAGGCAGACACCACCACACCCGGCUAAUUUUUGUAUUUUAAUAGAGACGAGGUUUUGCUAUGUUGGCCAGACUGUUCUUGAACUCCUGACCUCCAGUGAUCCACCCACCUCAGCCUCUCGAAGUACUGGGAUUACAGGCGUGAGUCACUGCACCCAGCCUGUUCUUUUGUCUUUCAACAAUCUAGAGUCAGAGUGAAGAAUUUUACUGUGAUUCUGAAAACAAAGAAUUCUUUACUUGGUUAAUGAAGUUUUGUUUUGCUUUGUUUUUUUUUCCUUCGUCUUUGUGUAAUGGUUUUUGAAUGGGCUGUUUUUGAAUAAAAGCCUUUCGUCCUAGGGCAAUCCCAUAGUUAGGGUAUUUCUGCAUGUGAGAUUCUCUACUUCACCACUAGAUGGACCUACUUGAUAUUUUGUCUUCCGAAAAAGCGAAACAAUUUUAUACUGUGAAGUCUUUCUGACAAAGAUUUAAACUGCUCACCUUAAAAAAAGAUUUGAGGGCUUAAAAUAAUAAUAAACCAAAUCACUUUUACAAAAUAAUGAGUAAAAUGUACUUAUAUAUUUAAAUAAUGUUAAUAAAAUGAAACACUUGUAUAACCGCCUCCUGGCUUAAGAAAUAAAAUAUAACCAAAUAAAUCCUUGAAGCCAACUAUGCUUCCUCUCUGAUUUUCCCCUUCU
rnacentral:lncRNA from 1 species